rnacentral:rRNA from 1 species
UACGGAGGGGGCAAGCGUUGUUCGGAAUUAUUGGGCGUAAAGCGUAUGUAGGCGGCUAAGCAAGUCAGGCGUGCAAGCCCGUGGCUCAACCACGGAAUUGCGUUUGAAACUGCUUAGCUUGAGUACAGGAGAGGAAAGCGGAAUUCCCAGUGUAGCGGUGAAAUGCAUUGAUAUUGGGAAGAACAUCUGUGGCGAAGGCGAGCUACUGGACAUUUACUGACGCUGAGGCACGAAGGCCAGGGUAGCGAAAGGG